CACGUAGGGCGCAAGCGUUGUCCGGAAUUAUUGGGCGUAAAGAGCUCGUAGGCGGUCUGUCGCGUCCGCUGUGAAAACUCGGGGCUUAACCCCGAGCCUGCAGUGGAUACGGGCAGACUAGAGUUCGGUAGGGGAGUCUGGAAUUCCUGGUGUAGCGGUGAAAUGCGCAGAUAUCAGGAGGAACACCGGUGGCGAAGGCGGGACUCUGGGCCGAUACUGACGCUGAGGAGCGAAAGCGUGGGGAGCAAACAGG
rnacentral:rRNA from 1 species